GCCUUCUUCUAGCCUCUGUGGUCACCAGGCCCACACGCGCGCGGUACACAGACACAUAGAUACAAAACAGACAACUUUUUGAAAGGGAGAAAUCCAGUACGGUACCAGGUCUCAUCUCUUGCUGCUUCCUGGCAGCGAACGCAGUGUGUCUGGCUGCCUCGUAUUUUGUUUGUCACUUGACCCCCCCACCACCAUCAUGGACCACAGCCUCAAACUGUCAGCCCGAAUGACCCCUACCUUCUGUCAGUUGCUUUACGUCAGAUACUUGGUCACAGCGUCAAAGAGGAAAAUGAAGCAUGGUGAACAGUUGUAAGGGUGGAGAGUGACGCUGGGUAGGCUCAUCACAUAGUUAAGCUGCUUAUGCUUGCCCUCAGGCGAGCAAUAAUCCGGCCUCUCCCUUUCAGAGUUACUGUGCAGAUUAAAUACCACCCCACAAAAGCCUGGCACAGAGUAAGCGCUCAAGCCUGUAGAACAUUUAGCUUUUUAAACUUUAUGGUCGUAUGGAGGCAUCACCUCCUGAGAGGCACCGCACUCAGAGCGAUCUUUCCAGGUUGAUGCUGUGCGUUACGGAGCUCCCUUGUGAGGCUGGGCAGCGCAGUGAGCUACAGGUCCAGCCAGUUUCUGGAUGGUCAUGGUGAAGGCUUGCUCUCCGCAGCUGAAACGAUGCUGACUUUGGAUACCAGGGAGAAGAAAGAACUCUGGAAAGAUGAUGACAGAGAAUUCUGCCAGGCCAGUCAUCGAAGCCAAGUCGAGUUCAAGGUCACAGGCUAUUUGUUGAUGGAUUCUCUUCGUUUCUUUCAAAAUGAGAAAGCAUUAGCAGACUGAGUUUCUCGUAAUGAGGAAUGCAAGAAUGCAUCCACAGGAUUAGACAGCUUCCUGGGAUCUUUUUUGGUAGAGAAAGGUCUUAAUGUGCUAGAUGAAAAAGUUCCCAAGGGUUUUGGCACCAGACAGAACUGGUUAAGGAUUCCAGACUGGGCCUGAGUCUCUGUGAACACUUCAGCUUGCUCCAAAUGGGGCAGUGCCAAGGUGAUCUUUGUACUAAUUUUUAAGGAAAAAAAAAAGCAGGUCAAGUGUCUGGAGGUGUAGAGGAAACUUACACAAAAGGCAGCCAAUGCUGACUACUUAUUUACGGGGCCACAUGAAGCCGGAAGGGAACAUACGUGUUCCAGUAAAGGCAAGAGAACCCACCCUGACUCAGAGAUCUGAGUUUGAAGGUUGCCCAGCUCUGUGGAGACGAUCCCCGUUGAUUUCGGACCUCGGGAGAAGGCUUAAUUUCUAAGAACAGGAAAUGAGCUGUGAGCAAAUGAAGUGAUUUCAGGAACCCUUGAGUUUCUGCGUGGUGUUUACACAGAGCUCGGAGAAUUACCAGGUGGCUGGUGGAAGGUGCAGCCUGUCGUCUAAUUUGAGAGGAUUCUAGUUGGAAAGCAGGACACCUGGGCUGGAGCUCGGCUCUGUCCCUGACUUGCUGCACAUUCUCUCCUGGGACCAGAUGCUCUCCCACACCCCUCCCCAGCUCCUCUGCAGAAGUCCUCAUGACCUAGGCGCUGUACCUUCAACCUCUCCUCCCUUCUUCAUUCUGAAACUCAGUUCUCUCCUCCUCUCGCAUCCCUGUCUUCCUUCCCACUUCCCCCUUCUUCCCUAAGUAAUUCUGAGGCAUAAUUUAGCUUGGCUUCUUGGGUCUACACCACAGUCCUAUUGUCUAACCUUAGUGUGGCCGUCUUAGCUGUGAGGCCGUCUCUUUGCUCAUAUGCUGGAGAGAGUCCUAAGUAACUUCUGAGGCCCAAGCUCUGCUUCUUUUCUUUCCCUCCUCCUUCUAGUUUACUUAUCAUUCUCUCAUAUAUUACAUCCUGACUACAGUUUCUCCUACCUCCUCCCCUCCUGGUCCUUCCCCCAGCCUCCUCUUUCCCCCACAUCCACUCCUCUUCCAUUUUCCUUCGGAAAAGGGCAGGCCUCCCAGGGAUAUCAACCAAACACAGCAUAUCAUGUCACAGUAACACUAUUCACAUCCCAUAUUAAGGCUGGACGAGGCAACCCAGUAGGAGGAAAAGGGUCCCCAAAGCAGGCAAGAGUCCGAGACAGUCCACAUCCCCACUGUUAAAAGCCCCUCAAUAGCACAAACAUCAGCUCAGCCAUACCAUCUAUGCAGAGGACCCAAGUCAGACCCAUACAGGUUCCCUGCUUGUCGGUUUAGUCUCCAUGGGCCCCUAUGAGCUCUGCUAGUUGAUUCUGUGGGCCAUUUUCUUGUGCUGUCCUCCAGUCCUCUGGCUCCUACAGUCCUUCCUACCCCUUUUUUGCAGGUUUCCCUGAGCCCCACCUAACGUUUGGCUGUGUAGCCCCACCUGGUAACAGGAGACUUGGAUGGCUGUUGAAGGGGCCUUUCUUCCAGUGAGGCAGCUCUUUUGAAACUGGGUCUUCUCUAAAAAGAGGAGGGCUACACGGCCAGUUUGAAGGUUAGAAAUCAUCUGUGGGACGUGUUUGUCACGUGACAGGUGCUCAGCCAAUGGAAGCUAUUAUUAACUCGAUUAAUGAACGCUAUUGCGUACACCUGCAGCCUCCCCUCUCCUAGCUCCGGGGAACUCCCUCCUCCUAGAGGAAGCCGAUCUAGAUUUUUCUCUCUGUACCUCUUCCUCUAUGACUCAUCUCCACACCUUCCUUGCAUCCUUACUGUCCUUUCUCAGUCUCUUGGGUCUCCUCCCUUCCCCAAGCCAUUCCUUGAACUAUGGCUUUCUUUGACUCUCUGCCCUGAAGCAUGCCAGAGAGUCUUCUCCUCAUCUCCUUACUGCUCCUGAGACCUGCUGUCUUAGCACACAGCCCUGGAGCCACCCUCACCAUCAUGGCUAGGAGACCUGUGCCUGACCAGGAGUACCCACAGCCCUCCGCCUCUUUCUCUUGUGCUAGCAUUUGAUGCUGAUCAUUACCCCUCCCCCAAUGUCAGCUGUCUCAGAUCUGAAUUCCAUGACACAGCACCCUUUGUGGUUCCUCAAACAGGUCUCCUUUUCCUCUUCUUUGAGGGUUCCUUCAGUAGGCAAACUCUUCCUUCUCUUUCCUCUGUUCCUCCCAUGGAAACCUCCCAUCUGUGCCUAACUGAUUUAGGAGCCGUAGUUAGCCACACAUAUGCACGGCUUUCUCUCCAAAGCCUGCACGUUUUUAACCCUCUGCUGUAUGCCAUUCCCAAUUCAGUCUCUGGGAGAUCAAGCCCGUCCUUGCAGGGCUCCCAUCUGGUCCUCCGGCAUGCCUCGCUACAAUUGCCUCAACCGAAGCCUCCAGUCAUUACACACACACUCACUCACUCACCCACUCAUUCACCCUGCACUCCUCAGUUCCAACCGUUUACCAGGUGCUGUGGAAGAGAGCAAGGGCAUCAUUCUCCAACACUGGUCCUCCCAGCCGUUAGUUAACUGGGGAGGGAGUUAACUGCACAGCAGAGCACACAAGGAUUAGGUGGCUGUGAUUGGGAUAGAGGCGCAGGGAAGAAUUCCAGACACUGCUUACCCGCCACCCCCUCCUACUGCUUGCUUUACCACCUUGGUUCAUGACUCUGUCUCUUCUCUAGCUCUUACCUAUCUUCCACAUGACCCUCAGAUUAAUCUGCCUCAGAGGCGGAUUUGCUCAUGCAAACUUCCAACCCUGCACUGGCUUCCCAUGGCUUUGUUAAACCUACCACUGUCUGUGCUCUCACCCUCAAACCCUGCAGUCUAGAACCAGACAUCGUACUUUCCUUCUCAUGUCUCAUCGUUUGUACAUUGCUGUGUCUUAACCAGCAUCCCCCUCCCCCCAAACGUCGUUUCCACCUCCACUUGAGACAGGGUGAUUUGGGUAUACUAUUCCCACAGCCUUAGGACCAUUUAACCUCAUCCCUGCUGGCCCAGAUCCUGGCACCAGCACUUAUUAAAUGAUCUUGAGUACUUGACUUAAUGUUUUCUCAUGUGUAAAAUGGAGACAGUCGAUGCCGCGUGCAAGGCCCGCUGUGAGCACCGAGAUUAUGCAAAUCAGGUGUCUAAGCCUGUAAGUGUCCUUGUUGUCGUCAUGGGCAUCCACAACAGUGGCAGCAUUAACUUUCUAAGGCCCUUUGCCAAUAAUGCUUCCCUCUGUGCAGUUUCCAUUCUCCUUGAUACGAUGGGAUGGGUUCUUGCUUUUGUGAGAUCUAAGGCACUUUCUAUUCAUGCUCUAACUGUCUGGGUAUCUUUCCUUUGUUAUCGCAGAAGGUUCUCUGUUGCCUGUCUUACCCAUUUCACCUCUCUGGAGGAUCCUCAGAGGAUAUCCUCAGCGUGUUUGCUCAGUGGAAUUUAAUGUUGUGUGCACGGGCUCAAAGCAUGAGCCUGCAUGUCUGAUUCUUAACCUCUUAGACACACUGGUGUGUGUGUGUGUGUGUGUGUGUGUGUGUGUGUGUGUGUGUGUGUGUGCGUGCGCGCGCGCGCCAGUAGCUACUAGUGGGACUGCCAGAGAGAGGGCCUGCGGAUUGUGUGCGGUUGAGGAUUUGGGUCUCACCGCCAGGAGGCGCUCCUCAGCGGUGCUGCGGAAAGCAGCCGUCCGUCUCCGCGCGGGAAGGGAGCUAGCUGGUGGGGGUGGAGGCUACUGCUGCUGGUAGGGUGUUGGACUGGGGGAAAGGGGGAGGGGAUGUAGGUAGGCUGAUGCAAAUGUUUCCAUGCUGUCAGUCGCGGGGGACCCAGGGCUGGCCUUCAUCUUCCCUCCAGAGCCCACACCCUCACACCCCCGCUGUCAGUCCCCUCCAAAGGCAGCCAAAGCUCCAGUUCCGUCGAGUCUCAAGAACCGGACCCCUCCUUCUGACAAGCACACAUGAGCACCUGCAGUGUUUGUCUUUGCGGCUGUUUUUCUAUGAUUCAAGUACGGGCUACAAUCACAACUCAAUUCAACACUCCGUUGUUUUUUUUUCCAAGGGACUCUACGCUAAUGGCGGUGGUCGAGACAGAGGACGUCUCCCCUACCUCCCCAUCCCACGACCCUAGAAGCAAAACAUCUUGGAGGUGGCGGGAGUGGGGGGGGCGCUUGAGGUUGGGCCAGAGUUAAAGGAUCACUCGUCUGGGUUACGAAAGUGGCGGGGGCUUUCCCCCACAGAAGAGAGGGCAGGCUUCCAGGCGCUGCUCCCCGGGCCCUCAUAGAGCCAGCACUCGCAACAGCUCUGCCCUGGGCUCUCAGUUGGCCAGUGCGUGUCCCCUUCCCCCAACACACGCCUCUCAAUUUUGAACCCUAGCCUACUCUUAAACUUUGCUAGGGAGGGGACGGCCUGAAACUGUGACCGGAGUCUGUGACCCCGGCACAGGCUCCAAAGGUGCUCCUGUGGAAGAGGACAAAUAGCCCCUCUACCCCCCACCGACGUGGGCUCCCCUCUCUCCACCUGGCCUCUGCCACCCUCGGAUUCCCUUGGGAACCGAACUGUACCCCUUGGGGUGACUCUCUGCUCCUGUAGAAGAGGGUCCGGGAGGGCUUCAGGGGUAGCCACACCCCAAGUAGCCAAGGACCACGUCCCCCACCCUAUUCUUGUGGGCUCGAAGUUGUUCUCCAGGUUUAUACUUGAGUCUCCGCACUCCGGGCAGCCCGAGCUCUCCAAGCCCCACUGUCCCUGCUCCGGGUGCGCAUCUGCCCACAUCUGCCUGCUCCGAGUCUGCAGUACCAGCCGUCCCCCUGGCCUCCGCGGGGAGCUGUCCCUUCAGCACCACACCGAGCGGGCAGGGGCCCGCAGUCCCCAGUGCAGCGCCCCGCGGUCUUGGGGAGCCCCUCUAAACCGCACUGCCGGCUUCCCCGCUGUUCCGGAGCCAGAGCGUUUCCCCUACUGCCCCCAGCCCGGCUCCACCUCCCCGGCCCACGGUCAGCACCGACCUGGUGGUCCCAGCAACCGUCUAAGCCACUGCAGGGCUCCGGCUGACUCCAGCAGGCAGUGCGGUGUGCUCAGCCAGCUCGCGCCGCUGCCUGGUGUAACUCCGCCAGGCGAGCUGGGACCGAGGCUGCUGCCGCGGGCGGGCGGAUGCCGAAGGCGCCCUCCAAUCACGCCCCUCAGCCAGGCCCUGACGCCGUACAGCUUCUCUUCCAGAAGGGAAAUUCAAAACCUCUCUCUCUCUCUCUCUCUCCCCCUCCCUCCCUCUUUCCUCCCUCCCUCUCUCCCGCCCUCCCUUUUCUCCCCUCUCUCUUUCCUGUUUUUCCCUCUCUUCAUCCUCCUUUCCCUCUCACUGUCUCCUCCUCCUCAUGCUCCCAUUCUCCCCUCUUCCUUUUCUCCUUUCCACUCUUUUAUUCUCCCCGCAUUAAGCCUUACUGAUCUUCCUUCAGCUAGAUUUAUUUUCUAACUCCUCUGUGUCCAAUCCACAAGCUCGCAGGUUUGGAGGGGCUGUGGGGGCAGGAGUCGAACAAGGGUUUUUGUUUUUGUUUCUUUUUUUUUUUUUUUAGCAGAAACCAAAGGAUUGCCUCUUCAGGAAAAUUCUUUUUGGUUACUCCGGGCACACUAGGAUAGGCGUCCUCCCUUUGGGGUGUUCACUUCCCUAAGGGAGCCCCAGUUUCAAUCCCCCCAGCCCGGUGCCUGCUGAGUCUUGCCUGUGAGCGGCUUCUGGACUAGGCAGUCCACUGUCACAUCAUUUCUGCAGUUUAUGACUGUAGUGUCCAGCUAUGCACUCACUCCAGAACCACUGGUGUGUAGGAUGAGGAAGGCCCUCCUAGGGGGUGAGUGGCUCUCUGCUCUGGACCUAGAAGCAAAGGACUGCUGCAAAACUGCAGGGGGAACCCUAGGCAGGCCACUCCUCGUCCUCUGUUGGUCUGUUAUCCUCUGAAGAAGCCAUAGUUCUCUGGUAAAGUUAUUCUAGAAGGCACUGCUUUCCCCCCUCAGCCCAGGGAAGAGAAGGGACUCUGACGGCAGGGGGACCCCUACUCCUCGUUCAGCCUCCCCUCCCCUUCCCCUCAUACUCAUCUGUGCCCUCCUUUUCUCUCCAGAUGAGCCUUUCCUUUCUGCCUGCCAUCUAUCUAUUGGUUCCCCACCCCUUCCUUUAAUCCAGCCCUGGGUGUAGGAAAAUGGCUCCAGGGAGGAGGGCUUGCACCUGGUGUUGGAAGCUGAGCUGAAGUUCAGGCACCCAUCAGAGCUAUGUCAGAGUGGAGAUGACUUCUGCUUCUGAGAUGAGAGGGAUGGCUUCUCUCCCAGGAGCUGCGGUAGGGCAGGAUCCUGGGAGAGGGAGGAGGUUCAUAGUUGAUGCCUCAAUGUGGGGGGGGGGGAGCCUUACAAAUUGGAAAACAUUGGUGUGCACACCCUGCUCCUCUUCGGACCAGGAGGGGCUUUGUAAAAUGGCAGUGGUGUGUGUGUGUGUGUGUGUGUGUGUGUGUGUGUGUGAGAGAGAGAGAGAGAGACAGAGAGACAGAGAGACAGAGAGACAGAGAGACAGAGAGACAGAGAGAGACAGAGACAGAGACAGAGAGAGAGAGAGAGAUGGAGGCGGGGAGAGAGAGAGAGAGAGAGAGAGAGAGAGAGAGAGAGAGAGAGACUCUCGUUCCAUUAGAGCGACUUAGACUGGCCCCUAUUGCUAGAGGGGAGUUCUAAGCCAAGAGAUCUGACAUUUCAAGACCUGAAAUCCCUCCCCCUUUUCUUUUCUAAGAGUUCUUCAGCAAACAUGCCCUGUGCAUGGGGCCUGUGCCAACUGCACUCUGGCUACAGCUGGGCCCUUGCCUUUGACACGGACAUUGAUCAAGCUAGGAUCAAAAUCCAACUUACACUACAGGAAAAGACCAAGCUCAGUCCUGGGGGCUGCGUUUAAGAUGGACUUGUGUAAGCACCGGGAUGGAUCUGGCUUUUUCAAAGAAGCUGGGCUGGGGCUACCAAGAUGAAGGGUCUGAGAGUGGCUUCCUACCCUCAGGACAGAACUGAGGGGCAUUAGUCCUGGAAGGGCCGAUGAGUCUUGCUUAAUUGAAAUUGACUCAGUUUAGUAGCUGGCAAAGUAGAUGCUAAGGGUGGCUGAGUGGAUAAACAACCAACACAAGGAAGACCAGAGCUUCAGGGUUCUUUCUGCCUCCCCUGACACCCUGCCAUUGCUGGAGAUGGCCUUAGAACAAUGGGCAAAGAGAGGCAGGGUGUAGCUCUGUCAAUUGGUGCUACCCAGCCAUGACUGUGAGUCCCAGCUCAAGGCCAUUGGCUGCGAUUGGAUAGGACCAUCCAGGCGGCAGUCACAUUCAAAUCCGAGUCUUUUGUGAAUCUCUCUCUCUUUUUUUUAAAAUCCUCAUUAUUUGACAUAAACUGAGCCGAGUUACAGAAAUCUUGCCGAUGAACAGAAGUUCAAGUUUUGAGGCUUCAUCCUGUUGAUCAAUUAGGGCUAACUCACAGUGGAGCGAUUUCCCACAGCCAAAUCGAGGUGGGGAGGGGAGUCCUUUCUGCCCAGACAUGGCUCCCCAAUUCUCUGUUAAUAUUUAAGAAAAGUAGCUGACCGUUCCAAAUAUCCCCUGAUGAUGAUAACGCCACUAACCUCAGCAAGGACUACGCUCCCCAAGGGCCUGAGGUGCCAACUUUGGGCCUUUUUAUAUAAACCACAUUUUCUCAUUUAAUUUCUAUAAACCAUCAUUUUCAAGAUGCAGACAUUUUAGCCCAGGGGGAGAAGGUGAGUCUUAAACAGAGCCAGGAUUCCAGCUGCUAUGGCACUGGGACUGAUGGGCCUUCUAGCACCUUCUAGCACUCUGGGUUGCUUUUCUUCUGGAACGUUUCAACCUUCCAUAACCUAUGCAAGUGGAACAUUUGCAGCAUACUAUCUAUAUCUAUAUAUAUAAUUUUUGUGUGUGUGUACAUGUGCAAUAUCUAUCUAUCUAUCUAUCUAUCUAUCACUGGUAUUUAUAGUGUGAUCCCUGUUGUUUGGUUUCUAGCACACACAUGCAUGCAGAAUUGCGUGCACACACAUGCACACGCACAUAUGUAUAUGUGUGUGUGUGUGUGUGUGUGUGCGUGUGGGUGCAUUGUAAUAUCUGUCUGUCUGUCUGUUUGUUUAUGUAUUAUAGCACUGGCAUUUAUAGUCAUUCCUGUUGUUUGGUUUCUAACACACACACACACACACACACACACACACACAGAGGCACACUAUGUAUUCACACUUAGAUCAGGGUGCUCGUGUCAUGCAGACUGCGGUAUUUCUUCCCCCUCCUGCCUCUCUAAUCCAGCUAGCUCACUGUAAGAGAGCGUGGGCAUGGGAGGUGGAAGCAGGCAGCCUCUGGUCUUCACGGAGCAUUGAGAGCAGGAAGAGGGUGCCAGGUUUGGAAAGAUUCACGAAAUGGUGUAGCUCUGUGCCUUGGAUGUCCACUAGGAAGCCAAUUAGGAAAGCCAGGACUUCCACAGCACCGAGGAACAGUGCGUGAGGAGUGACAGCUGUCAUAGGCUGCAAAUGUGCAUGUCAGAGAGAAUGGCUUCCAGAGAGUGCCUGUCCAAAGGUCAGCCCCCCCCCCUCCUGCCCCAUCACCUCCCUCACCCCUGCGAGCACUCUGAAUGCCAUGAGGGAAAAGGAAAUGACAGAUCUAGUCUGACUGGAGCUUUUCUGGCCGAAUCAUACCUCAGCUGGCAUGGAUGGGGUUCAGGGAGGCCUGAGCUGCCCACAUCCUGUGGUUCUAGCUUGAGCCUGGAGGGGCAGCAUUGGCCUUGCUUUGGGAAGGUGGCCUGGUGCCAGAAGAGGAAAUAACGGUUGGUAGUUGGAGCACUGAGAAAGGUUCCACGUCAUACUGCUCCUCUGGGGAUUCUGGUCGCAAACAAUGGCUAGGGUAUGGUGUGAGACUCCCCAGUCUACCUUUGUCAGCAUAGAAUGGUGCUGUGUGAAGGCAAACUGGCCACUGUGCAAUGGUGUGCCUGUGCCUGUGCCCGUGGCCCGGGGUGGGAGCAGACAGCAUGGAGGACGCGGGCGCCAUUGCUGUUGUGUGGAAUGACAUGCUUGGAUCUGCUGCUGACUCUCACUGUUUGCUGCUGAGUCCCUCCUGUCGAGAGCCGAUGUGACAGUACACAGUCAACUUUGUUUUACAGACGAAUGUUUUUUUUUCUUUUAAGGUUUAUUUAUUUUAUUUAUAUGUUAGUACACUGUAGUUCUCUUCAGACACUUCAGAAGAGAGCAUCUCAUUACAGAUGGUUGUGAGUGGGUGCUGGGAAUUGAACUCAGGACCUCUGGAAGAACAGUCAGUGCUCUUAACCACUGAGCCAUCUCUCCAGCCCAUAGAUGAAUAUGUUAAUGGUACUGUUAUGGCACUGGUUCCGAUGUAAGGUGAGGGCACACGUGUACAAUUGUGUGUGUAUCAAAUGGCUGUGCACUGAGGGGUGGAUUUACAUGGAUUGUGGUAGAGUCAAAGGGUCUAAAGUUGCCAGUGUUUCUGGUUACUAAUGCCGCCAUCCAUUAGAAAUGACCUAGUGUUAGGAUGGUGGCCUUGGGUUCCUAUUGGCAGAUGUAAAUGUGAGCCACAAUGGGUGGGCACACAUGUCACCAUCAUUGAGUGGGGACAGCAGAAGCAGUGGAUGUGUACAUGAACAGCCAGAAAUUUAUCCUGACCACUGUGCAAAUGUGCAAAAUAUGCUUCUGGAGACAAGUAGCUUCCUUUCCCCUUCCUCCCCACCACAAAGGCUGUAAGCCAACACACCAGCUCCUGCCCAUUUGGGAAGGAGAAAGACUCUUAGAACCCUGUGGUUUUCUAGAAAGUUCCAAGGUUUCACAUCUGCACCCUGACUCGCUGGCAACACUUGAGCGUGUCUGUGGAAAAUGCUCAAGGAAUCCAUUCUUGUCCCCAGAGCCUCCAGUUUGGCUCCUCACUAGCAUCCGCCUACCAGUUCCUCGUGGGUCCUGCAUGCCCUUUAUCCGUGCCCAUCUCCCCAUCCAGGCACCCAUUAGCAUGUCAAAGAAGCCCCGUUCCAGCCCACACAGUGUACUCUGGGGCAUCCUUACACAGUCGCUCCCUCUCAUCUGGAGCUCUCCCCAAAACCUUGCAUUUUUGUGUCUGUUUGCCAGAAUGCAGCACCUCACUGUCCACCAAAGGAGGAUGUGAUUCCCCUUUCUCUUGUCUUGGGUUCCUUUUCAAGCUUCCUGUUGGGACUUCUGUCUCCUUACAUCUACCCCGAGCCCUUCCAAUUCUUCUGGACAGGGUCAGAUGUCCCUGUCCUCUGAUGACCUCGGAUGACCAUGGUCUUUCAGACCCUAAUUUCCAAGAUCCAACUCGAGCCCUGCUAUUUCUUGCACAGUGUGCAGACAGUAUCAAAUUGUUACCCAGGUCUUUGGGGGAUCCCCAUCUCAAUGGUCCUCACACCUUGUAAACUCUUGGUCUCCUGCCAAAAACCUGCCCAGAGACAGUUCUUAAGCCAUAGAAGCCUGCCUUGCAGCACAUGGAAAUAGCGCACGAAAGCAGAAGUCCAGGUGAGAAUCCCCCCAGGUAAAUCUCAGGAUGCUAGGGCUCUCUUAGACACUGUCUGUCAAAGGGCCCCACUCAUACUCAGAAGGGAUGGAGAAGGGAUGUGUUUUUAAGCACUCUGCAGAUUUGCAGGCCUUAUCCCACAUGGGGCAAAGCAGUCUCUGGCAUGGGAGUCCAGGAUUGCAUCUUUUAUUGGCUCUCCAGGAGUUUCCGACCCAUGCACUGGCUGGGAAGCCCUGGUCUUGACCCUGCAACUUCACACCCGAUCUUAUGCAAAAAGAAAAAAAAAUGAAUCAUGGAGUCACAGACUGUUGGCGGAUUAUCACAGAGGGUCCACACACUCGCUUUAUAAUCUUCAGGUCUACAAAUCUGUGUCAAGAGCUUGGAGCUGGGGAGGUUCUCCGUCUGGGAAGAAUUCUUGUUUUCCAAAAUUUGUUUGUUGUGCAAAGCUCCUCCCCCACCCAUCCCUUGAAGGACUGUUGUCAUAUGUCACCUGCGUGUGUGAGGACCCAUGUUCUCCCUACUGGUGCAAAGGUACCUGGCAGGGGCUUGUGCACAGAGUGGGUGAGCAGAAAAGGAUGUCUGUGUCUGGUUAGCAUGCGCUGGCCCACAGACAGAUCCUGCUUGUUGAUAAAGGAAUGGCGAGGACGUUUAUUGCUGUUUCAUUAAAGCCAGAGAUAUUGAGGGACUCGGACAGAUGAUAAAAACCUCCUGGGCCUCUCUCUAGUCAGGAGAUGAAAGGACGCGCUGGAGAGUCUCGGGAUGCUGUUUUUUUGACGUUGAGGGUGGGGAGGGGUUCGUGUGUUUAGGAGACAGGGAGGACAGAGGGGCGUGAAAAAUGCAUCAAAAGUUAAAAGCGCGCAGUGGAGGGACACUCGCCCGGUGCACUCUUGGCCCUGGCUUCAGUCGGGAGAACCACGUCAAAAGGUUGAAAGCGUCAAUGAUAAAAAUGACAGUUUUCUGUACUCCGAACACUUGGGGGAAAUGGGGCCAAAGUCGCACAGC